CCUACGGGUGGCAGCAGUAGGGAAUCUUCCGCAAUGGACGAAAGUCUGACGGAGCAACGCCGCGUGAGCGAUGAAGGCCUUCGGGUCGUAAAGCUCUGUUGUUAGGGAAGAACAAGUACCGGAGUAACUGCCGGUACCUUGACGGUACCUAACCAGAAAGCCACGGCUAACUACGUGCCAGCAGCCGCGGUAAUACGUAGGUGGCAAGCGUUGUCCGGAAUUAUUGGGCGUAAAGCGCGCGCAGGCGGUCCUUUAAGUCUGAUGUGAAAGCCCACGGCUCAACCGUGGAGGGUCAUUGGAAACUGGGGGACUUGAGUACAGAAGAGGAAAGCGGAAUUCCACGUGUAGCGGUGAAAUGCGUAGAGAUGUGGAGGAACACCAACGGCGAAAGCACUCUGCUGGGCCGACACUGACACUGAGAGACGAAAGCUAGGGGAGCAAAUGGGAUUAGAUACCCUUGUAGUC
rnacentral:rRNA from 1 species